GCAUAGCUCUCUUCUAAGUGCAGGUCAACGCACCCAAUCUUGUCUGAUCUCAGAAACUAAGCAGGGUCAGGCCUGGUUAGUACUUGGAUGGGAGACCACCUGGGUUACCAGGUACCGUAGGCU
rnacentral:rRNA from 1 species